CCUACGGGUGACAGCAGUGGGGAAUAUUGGACACUGGGGGGAACCCUGAUCCAGCGACGCCGCGUGAGUGAAGAAGUAUUUCGGUAUGUACCGCUCUAUCAGCAGGGAAGAAAGAAAUGACGGUACCUGCCUAAGAAGCCCCGGCUAACUCCGUGCCAGCAGCCGCGGUAAUCCGUAGGGGGCAAGCGUUAUCCGGAUUUACUGGGUGUAAAGGGAGCGUAGACGGCGAUGCAAGUCUGAAGUGAAAGGCGGGGGCCCAACCCCUGGACUGCUUUGGAAACUGUAUGGCUGGAGUGCAGGAGAGGGAAGUGGAAUUCCUAGUGUAGCGGUGAAAUGCGUAGAUAUUAGGAGGAACACCAGUGGCGAAGGCGGCUUACUGGACUGUAACUGACGUUGAGGCUCGAAAGCGUGGGGAGCAAACAGGAUUAGAUACCCUUGUAGUC
rnacentral:rRNA from 1 species